AUGGUCACAUCACAUUGAAACACCAGUUCCUGCAUGAUCACCAAAGUUAAACAAUGUUGAGCCUAAUCAAUACCUCGAUGAGUGACUGCUUGGAAAUACCAGGUGCUGUAAG